rnacentral:rRNA from 1 species
CCUCGGGAGGCAGCAGUGGGGAAUAUUGCACAAUGGGGGAAACCCUGAUGCAGCGACGCCGCGUGAAGGAAGAAGUAUCUCGAUACGUAAAGCUCUAUCAGCAGGGAAGAAAAUGACAGUACCUGACUAAGAAGCCCCGGCUAACUACGUGCCAGCAGCCGCGGUAAUACGUAGGGGGCAAGCGUUAUCCGGAUUUACUGGGUGUAAAGGGAGCGUAGGCGGCCACGCAAGUCAGAAGUGAAAACCCGGGGCUCAACCCUGGGCGUGCUUUUGAAACUGUGCGGCUAGAGUGUCGGAGGGGUAAG